rnacentral:piRNA from 1 species
UGGCUUUCAACAAGGGUGUAGGAUGGCCAA